UUUGAUUGACUGAGUGGCGGACGGGUGAGUAACGCGUGGAUAACCUGCCUCACACUGGGGGAUAACAGUUAGAAAUGACUGCUAAUACCGCAUAAGCGCACAGUACCGCAUGGUACGGUGUGAAAAACUCCGGUGGUGUGAGAUGGAUCCGCGUCUGAUUAGCCAGUUGGCGGGGUAACGGCCCACCAAAGCGACGAUCAGUAGCCGACCUGAGAGGGUGACCGGCCACAUUGGGACUGAGACACGGCCCAAACUCCUACGGGAGGCAGCAGUGGGGAAUAUUGCACAAUGGGCGAAAGCCUGAUGCAGCGACGCCGCGUGAGUGAAGAAGUAUUUCGGUAUGUAAAGCUCUAUCAGCAGGGAAGAAAAUGACGGUACCUGACUAAGAAGCCCCGGCUAACUACGUGCCAGCAGCCGCGGUAAUACGUAGGGGGCAAGCGUUAUCCGGAUUUACUGGGUGUAAAGGGAGCGUAGACGGCGAAGCAAGUCUGAAGUGAAAACCCAGGGCUCAACCCUGGGACUGCUUUGGAAACUGUUUUGCUAGAGUGUCGGAGAGGUAAGUGGAAUUCCUAGUGUAGCGGUGAAAUGCGUAGAUAUUAGGAGGAA
rnacentral:rRNA from 1 species